GAGAGGUCCGUGCGGCUACGAGAUCUGCUAAGUCUUCGUAUUCCUGGUUGGACUCCAGGGCCCACUCG
rnacentral:tRNA from 1 species